rnacentral:rRNA from 1 species
GGCGAGGGUACCGCAAAUACGUGCAAGUCGAGCGAAAUCAGAUGGAGUGCUUGCACUCCUGAGAUUUAGCGGCGGACGGGUGAGUAACACGUAGGCAACCUGCCCUCAAGACUGGGAUAACUACCGGAAACGGUAGCUAAUACCGGAUACGAUAUUUGGCCGCAUGACCGGAUAUGGAAAGGCGGAGCAAUCUGUCACUUGAGGAUGGGCCUGCGGCGCAUUAGCUAGUUGGUGGGGUAAUGGCCUACCAAGGCGACGAUGCGUAGCCGACCUGAGAGGGUGAACGGCCACACUGGGACUGAGACACGGCCCAGACUCCUACGGGAGGCAGCAGUAGGGGAAUCUUCCGCAAUGGACGAAAGUCUGACGGAGCAACGCCGCGUGAGUGAUGAAGGUUUUCGGAUCGUAAAGCUCUGUUGCCAGGGAAGAACGCCAGAGAGAGUAACUGCUCUUUGGGUGACGGUACCUGAGAAGAAAGCCCCGGCUAACUACGUGCCAGCAGCCGCGGUAAUACGUAGGGGGCAAGCGUUGUCCGGAAUUAUUGGGCGUAAAGCGCGCGCAGGCGGUUCUUUAAGUCUGGUGUUUAAACCCGGAGCUUAACUUCGGGACGCAGCUGGAAACUGGGGAACUUGAGUGCGAAGUGGAGAGUGGAAUUCCACUUGUACCGGUAAAAUGCGUAGAAGGGGGAGAACGCCCGCGGCGAAUACUACUCCGGGCCAGUAACUGACCGCGACAGGCGCGAAACGAGAAGCUGAAACAGGCAUAGAUACCGGGUACGCCACCGCUGACAAGGUUCACAAGCAUGGACCCGGGUGUACUACACCCGC